AGAGUGAACGCUGGCGGUAGGCCUAACACAUGCAAGUCGAACGGCAGCACAGUAGGAGCUUGCUCUUACGGGUGGCGAGUGGCGGACGGGUGAGGAAUACAUCGGAAUCUACCUUUUGGUGGGGGAUGACGUAGGGAAACUUACGCUAAUACCGCAUACGCCCUUCGGGGGAAAGCCGGGGACCAGCAAUGGCCUGGUGCUGAUAGAUGAGCCGAUGUCGGAUUAGCUAGUUGGUGAGGUAAUGGCUCACCAAGGCGACGAUCCGUAGCUGGUCUGAGAGGAUGAUCAGCCACACUGGAACUGAGACACGGUCCAGACUCCUACGGGAGCAGCAGGUGGGAAUAGUUGGACAAGUGGGCGCAAGCCUGACUCCAGCCAGUACCGGCGU
rnacentral:rRNA from 1 species